rnacentral:rRNA from 1 species
UACGAAGGGGGCUAGCGUUGCUCGGAAUCACUGGGCGUAAAGGGUGCGUAGGCGGGUCUUUAAGUCAGGGGUGAAAUCCUGGAGCUCAACUCCAGAACUGCCUUUGAUACUGAAGAUCUUGAGUCCGGGAGAGGUGAGUGGAACUCCGAGUGUAGAGGUGAAAUUCGUAGAUAUUCGGAAGAACACCAGUGGCGAAGGCGGCUCACUGGCCCGGUACUGACGCUGAGGUGCGAAAGCGUGGGGAGCAAACAGGG